ACAAGUAUGAAGAGAAUGUCGGGAGAGGAAGUGGUGGCUAUGAGUCAGCAUGAGUCAUCUCGUUCCAAUGAGAAUGAAGGCUGAGGUGUGCGCCUUUUUUUUUUUUCCUUCUUAGUCGUGUGUACAUCAUUGGGAAUGGAGGGAAAUAAAUGACUGGAUGGUCGCUGCUUUUUAAGUUUCAAAUUGACAUUCCAGACAAGCGGUGCCUGAGCCCGUGCCUGUCUUCAGAUCUUCACAGCACAGUUCCUGGGAAGGUGGAGCCACCAGCCUCUCCCUGGCUCUGCCGACUUCCAGUUCUGGAACAAGAUGGUUAAACUCAUUUUUCCCUGCUCUGCUCCUCUAAAUACAACUAAGUACCUUGGAAACUAUUCAGCAGACAAUGAUAAAGGGCUCUGAAAGCUAGAAGAAAAGGUGUACUUGCAAGAAACCUCAGGACUUGAGUAACAGCAACAUGGAAAGGAGAAAGAGACUACCUACUGCAUUUCUGUCACUCGCUGAAAAGGACACUCUGUCAGAAAAUCUUCUAGCAAACUUCAAAGGGCAAAAUCACCCCUUGUUACUGAUAAAGCCCAGAGAGCUUCAGCAGCUAACAUUCCCUGGACAGGGCACAGCAAGGAUUUGAACCUAGGUCAGUCUGGCCAGAACACCCACAAGCUUUCCUUAACUCAGUGUGCUAUCUCCCCACGACUAGGUCACUACUGCUUUAUAAUCACCUUUGUAGCCACCAGUGGAUUUUGCUCAUCAGUAUUUUUCAGGCAAUUGAUACUUUAGAUAUUCAGCUGCAAGACGUAUGCAGUUUUCAUUGACAUCUUUUGGAGAAACUGACAAACCUGGACUUGACUUAAUGCCUUUGGAACCUUCCAAGAUGUUAUAUAACUCUAGAUAGAAGGCUGGGCCUCCAUGAUGUCAGGAAUGUUGCAUUCUUAUUUCCCCAUAGAUAAACCCAUUUGUCCACAAAGUCAAGGAGUCAGGCAGAGGCCCUUGCCAUGGGGCUUUUUAGGAUAAAGCAACAAGCCUGGACUUUGCUCUACAACAGGGUUUUGCAUAGGGAGUGGUAUGACCAGAUCCCUCAAGAAAGAAAGCUUAGAGACCAGGCCAGAGUCCACUGCAGUAGCCCAGUCAAGAGAGGAUGGUGACUUGGACUUGUAGUAGAGCCAGUUAGAAUGAAAGAAAUUGACACAUUCAGAAAUGGUUUUAGAGAUAGAGUCAAACUGGACCUGAUAAAGAACUAGAGAAGCGGAGUGAGGAUAAAGAGAAGAGCCAUGACUGACUCGGAAGAUUUUGUCUUGAAAAACUUGAGAACUCAAGACAGAGUGAAAUAAAAUCACAUGUGGGAAAAAUCUC
rnacentral:lncRNA from 1 species